UACGUAGGGCGCAAGCGUUGUCCGGAAUUAUUGGGCGUAAAGAGCUCGUAGGUGGCGUGUCGCGUCUGCCGUGAAAGCCCAUGGCUUAACUGUGGGUCUGCGGUGGAUACGGGCAGGCUGGAGGCUGGUAGGGGAUCACGGAAUUCCUGGUGUAGCGGUGAAAUGCGCAGAUAUCAGGAGGAACACCGGUGGCGAAGGCGGUGAUCUGGGCCGGCACUGACGCUGAGGAGCGAAAGCGUGGGUAGCAAACAGG
rnacentral:rRNA from 1 species